GGUACAAUAGCAUAGUGGUUAAGAGCUGGCCCCCUGAAGCUAGAUUGCCUGAGUUCAAAUUUCAGUUGUGCUA
rnacentral:tRNA from 1 species